AAGAGUUCCCCAACGCAACGUGCCUUCUUCCCCCUUGCAAGUUAAUGGCUCCAUGGCGAUGGCCCCGCCGGGGCCACCAAACUGGAACGGGAGGGCCAGGCCGAUGGCUCGACGUGACCAUAUCGUGUGUGUUAGCCUGCUCAAUCUCCCCACGACGACUACGUGAAUGCAUUUCUUUUUGGCUGUCCCUUCUGCCAGAGGCCGAGAGAGGCAUCCUCUUCCAACAAGACCUGCCCACAACGGUGACACUGAGGCAAUGAGGCACUGCCAAGACGACCACUUCAUAGAGAAGGAGCACAAUUUUGUCAGCUGACGGAGGGACAAGAACGAGCACGAGCAGCUGAACAGCUGAAAAGCAGUAUUAGUCGGGAGUCUAGUCGAGGCUCUUCCUCCUACUUCGCCUCCUUAUUCCCCGCCGCUCAGCUAGUGGCUUCACUUUGUAAAAUAGCCGUCGUCUCCUCCUGAUGGACAGGGUUGCGGUGCCAGAUCAGGAGGAGAAAACGGUCGUGGACUGUCUCGCGUGAUACUAGACACUCAAGUAACCACCAACAACCAACCCCCCACCAACCCUUGGCCAGUGGAGUGGAUCUGCAGACCUCUGUAGAUCCUGUAUGAUCUUCCUGAUUGAAAUUGGGUCAAAGAUGGACAAUAACCCAUUGGAAACGGAAUCAUUGGUUGACCCCAGAUUUGGCCACCUCCAACAAAUCUUCGCGUUAUGUGAAUGCCGAGUCACAAUGCGGGAUUUCAGAUUUUCCCUUUCAGAUUUCAGAUUUGAAAUACGAGCCAAAUAUUAGA